rnacentral:misc_RNA from 1 species
GAUGAAGAACGCAGCGAAAUGCGAUAAGUAAUGUGAAUUGCAGAAUUCAGUGAAUCAUCGAAUCUUUGAACGCACAUUGCGCCCAUUAGCAUUCUAGUCGGCAUGCCUGUUCGAGCGUCAUUUCAACCCUUAAGCCCUGUUGCUUAGCGUUGGGAGCCUACAGUACUGUAGCUCCCCAAAGUUAGUGGCGGAGUCGGUUUCACACUCUAGACGUAGUAAUUUUUUCUCGUCUGUAGUUGAGCCGGUCCCCUGCCGUAAAACACCCAAUUUAUCAAGGUUGACCUCGGAUCAGGUAGGAAUACCCGCUGAACUUAAGCAUAUCAAUAAGCGGAGGA